CUUUGCCUACGGGGCGCAGCAGUAGGGAAUUUUCGUCAAUGGGCGCAAGCCUGAACGAGCAAUGCCGCGUGAACGAGGAAGGUCUUCGGAUCGUAAAGUUCUGUUGAAGGGGAAAAAGAGCGGAGAGAGGAAAUGAACUCCGAUUGAUAUUACCCUUCGAGGAAGUCACGGCUAACUACGUGCCAGCAGCCGCGGUAAUACGUAGGUGGCGAGCGUUAUCCGGAAUGAUUGGGCGUAACGGGUGCGUAGGCGGCCUGCUAAGUCUGGAGAGAGAGGUACCGGCUCAACCGGUACAGGCUCUGGAA
rnacentral:rRNA from 1 species